ACGGCUCAGUAACACGUCGAUAAUCUAACUUUAGGUCUGGAAUAACCUUGGGAAACUGAGGCUAAUACCGGGCAUGGAAACGGCACUGGAAUGUCCAUUUCCUUAAAGCUUCGGCGCCUAAAGAUGGGUCGGCGGCCCAUCAGGUAGUUGGCGGGGUAAAGGCCCACCAAGCCUAAGACGGGUAGGGGCCAUGAGAGUGGUUGCCCCGAGAAGGACACUGAGAUACUGGUCCUAGCCCUACGGGGUGCAGCAGUCGCGAAAACUUUACAAUGCACGAAAGUGUGAUAAGGGAAUCCUGAGUGCUUAUGCAAUGCAUAGGCUUUUGCCAAGAGCAAGUAUCUUGGCGAAUAAGUGGUGGGCAAGACUGGUGCCAGCCGCCGCGGUAACCCCAGCGCCACAAGUAGGGAUCACGAUUAUUGGGUCUAAAGCAUUCGUAGCCGGUCAAGUAAAUUCCCUGUGAAAUCGUCAGGCCUAACCUGACGGCGUGCAGGGGACACUGCUUGACUUGAGACCAGGAGAGGUAGGAAGUAUUCCUUGGGGAGCGGUAAAAUGUUAUAAUCCAAGGAGGACUACCAAUGGCGAAGGCAUUCUACCAUAAUGGAUCUGACGGUGAGGGGAUGAAGGCCAGGGGAGCGAUCCGGAUUAGAUAUCAUGGAUCUCGUUUGUGUAAUUUUCGGAAAUUAUUCUCGUGAGAUCGCACAUCUACUGUAGCGAGAAAAAAACGAAAAUGUUAUCGAGUUCACAUGACUAAUUACCCGAGUAGUCCUGGCAGUAAACGCUGCGUGCCAGAUGUUGCAUAAUCUUCGAGAUUGUGCAGUGUCGAAACGAAGGUGUUAAGCACGCCACCUGGGAAGUACGGCCGCAAGACUGAAACUUAAAGGAAUUGGCGGGGAGCAC
rnacentral:rRNA from 1 species